rfam:Solanum lycopersicum cultivar Heinz 1706 chromosome 11, whole genome shotgun sequence.
UACCUUGUUGAUCCUGCCAGUAGUCAUAUUCUUGUAUCAAAGAUUAAGCCAUGCAUGUGUAAGUAUGAACAAAUUCAGACUGUGAAACUGCGAAUGGCUCAUUAAAUCAGUUACACUUUGUUAGAUGGUAUCUACUACUCGGAUAACCGUAGUAAUUCUAGAGCUAAUACAUGCAAUAAACCCCAACUUCUUGAAGGGAUGCAUUUAUUAGAUAAAAGGUCGACGCAGGCUCUGUCGGUUGCUGCAAUGAUUCAUAAUAACUCGACGGAUCGCACGGCCAUCAUGCCGGCGACGCAUCAUUCAAAUUUCUGCCCUAUGAACUUUUGAUGAUAGGAUAGUGGCCUACCAUGGUGGUGAAGUGUGACGGAGAAUUAGGGUUCGAUUCCGAAGAGGGAGCCUGUGAAAUGGCUACCACAUCCAAGGAAGGCAGUAGGUGUGCAAAUUACCCAACCCUGACACGGGGAGGUAGUGACAAUAAAUAACAAUACUAGGCUCCAUGAGUCUGGUAAUUGGAAUGAGUACAAUCUAAAUCCCUUAACAAGGAUCCAUUGGAGGGCAAGUCUGGUGCAAGCAGUCGCGGUAAUUCCAGCUCCAAUAGCGUAUAUUUAAGUUGUUGCAAUUAAAAAGCUCGUAGUUGGACUUUGGGAUGGGCCGGCCGGUCCGCCCUAGAUGUGCACCGGUCGUCUCGUCCCUUCUGUCGGGUGAUGCGCUCAUGGCGUUUAGUGGUCGGGUCAUGCCUCCGACGCUGUUACUUUGAAGAAUUAGAGUGCUCAAUGAAAUCCUACUAUGACGUCCCGCCAUCCAUCCAGGCAGAACGCCACCCAACCUGGCAGCCAGCAGCAGGCGCAAGGGGGCAUAUAGCACAAGCCGGCCAGCAGGCCAAUGGGCAGGCAGCAGUUGGAGAGGCAGCCGUUACAACAGUUUCAGCUGUUACGGAUGUUACACCCGUUACAGCUGUUACAGCAGGUAGUGGGGCGGCAGUUACAAGCAUUGAAGAGGUUGUUCAAGGCCUCUAGGCGUUAGGGCAGACUAGGAGCAUCUAGGAGUCCUUUUUGGAAGACUUAGAAGCAUGUCUUGUAGGCAUAGACUUAGGAACUUCUAUAGUGUAGCAUUUACUAACUCUUAGGCAUUAGAGUAGUAUAAAUAGUAGUUCAUUUUACUUGUAAAGCAUCCAAUAAUUUCAGCAAGUAAUAGAAGUUCCUUCUUCCAAAAUUCUGUCUACUUCUUAUUUUCUUAGCAAUCCGAGUGAGAGGCUAACUUGAGUUUGCAAGAACGUGCAAGAAUCGUGAGUAAACUGUCAAGUGCCGCACGGAGUAUUGUCCGAAUAAAAAAGUCCGUGACACUAUGCUCUGUAUACAUUAGCAUGGGAUAACAUUAUAGGAUUUCGAUCAUAUUACGUUGGCCUUCAGGAUAGGAGUAAUGAUUAACAAGGAUAGUCAGGGGCAUUCGUAUUUCAUAGUCAGAGGUGAAAUUCUUGGAUUUAUGAAAGAUGAACAACUGCAAAGCAUUUGCCAGGAAUAUUUUCAUUAACCAAGAACGAAAUUUGGGGGCUCAAAGAUGAUCAGAUACCAUCCUAUUCUCAACCAUAAACAAUGCCGACCAGGGAUCGACGGAUGUUGCUUUUAGGACUCUGCCGCCACCUUAUGAGAAAUCAAAAUUUUCGGGUUCCGGAGGGAGUAUGGUCGCAAGGCGGAAACUUAAAGGAAUUGACGGAAGGGCACCACCAGGAGUGGAGCCUGCAGCUUUAUUUGACUCAACACGGGGAAACUUACCAUGUCCAAGCAUAGUAAGGAUUGACAGACUGAGAGCUCUUUCUUGAUUCUACGGGUGGUGGUAUAUGGCUGUUCUUAGUUGGUGAAGCGAUUUGUCUGGUUAAUUCUGUUAACGAUCGAGACCUCAUCCUGCUAACUAGCUAUGUGGAGGUAUCCCUUCGCGGCCAACUUCAUAGAGGGACUACGACCUUUUAGGCCACGGAUGUUUGAGGCAAUAACAGCUCUGUGAUGCCCUUAAGUGUUAUGGGCCGCACGUGCGCUACACUGAUUAUUCAACGAGCUUAUAGCCUUUGCCGACAGGCCCGGGUAAUCUUUGAAAUUUCAUCGUGAUAGGGAUAUAUUAUUGCAUUUAUUGGUCUUCAAUGAGGAAUUCCUAGUAAGCGCGAGUCAUCAGCUCGUGUUGACUAUGUCCCUGCCCUUUGUACACACCGCCCGUCGCUCCUACCAAUUGAAUGAUCCGAUGAAAUGUUCGGAUCGCGGCGACAUGGGCGGUUCGCUUCCCACAAUGUUGCGAGAAGUCCAUUGUACCUUAUCAUUUAGAGGAAGGAGAAGUCGUAACAAGGUUUUCAUAGGUGAACCUGCGGAAGGAUCAUUG